AUUGAACGCUGGCGGCAUGCCUUACACAUGCAAAUCGAACGGUAACGGGCCUUCGGGUGCCGACGAGUGGCGAACGGGUGAGUAAUACAUCGGAACGUGCCCGAUCGUGGGGGAUAACGAGGCGAAAGCUUUGCUAAUACCGCAUACGAUCUACGGAUGAAAGCAGGGGACCGCAAGGCCUUGCGCGGACGGAGCGGCCGAUGGCAGAUUAGGUAGUUGGUGGGAUAAAAGCUUACCAAGCCGACGAUCUGUAGCUGGUCUGAGAGGAUGAUCAGCCACACUGGGACUGAGACACGGCCCAGACUCCUACGGGAGGCAGCAGUGGGGAAUUUUGGACAGUGGGCGCAAGCCUGAUCCAGCCAUGCCGCGUGCAGGAUGAAGGCCUUCGGGUUGUAAACUGAUUUUGUACGGAACGAAAAGCCUUCUUUUAAUACAGGAGGGUCAUGACGGUACCGUAAGAAUAAGCACCGGCUAACUACGUG
rnacentral:rRNA from 1 species